GAUGAACGCUGGCGGCGUGCUUAACACAUGCAAGUCGAGCGAGAAGUUUUGAAAAGAUUCUUCGGAUGAAAUUUAAAAUGGAAAGCGGCGGACGGGUGAGUAACGCGUAGGCAACCUGCCCCAUACAAAGGGAUAGCAUUUGGAAACGAAUAUUAAUACCUUAUGAAACUUAACUAGUGCAUGCUAGGUAGGUCAAAGAUUUAUCGGUAUGGGAUGGGCCUGCGUCUGAUUAGCUAGUCGGUGAGGUAACGGCUCACCAAGGCGACGAUCAGUAGCCGACCUGAGAGGGUGAACGGCCACAUUGGAACUGAGACACGGUCCAAACUCCUACGGGAGGCAGCAGUGGGGAAUAUUGCACAAUGGGGGAAACCCUGAUGCAGCAACGCCGCGUGAACGAUGAAGGCCUUUGGGUCGUAAAGUUCUGUUCUAGGUGAUGAAAACUGACAGUAACCUAGGAGAAAGCCCCGGCUAACUCCGUG
rnacentral:rRNA from 1 species